AAAAAAAAUUCACUUUUUAAAACCGGUUCUUCUUCCUUUUCUCGUUUUUACUCUCAAAAAUCCCACAACAGUUGUAUUUCAGCCUAGAUCUAAGAAAAAGAAAAAUAUUACCUUUGGUUCGUUCCUUUUUGUUCACUGUUGUAUGAUGCUGAUGUGACACAGCCGGUACUCCUCUGGUUCUGCAUCGGCUCCGAUGUCGUGGACGUUGUUGCAAUCUGAUCUGCGUUGGGAACGGUUGCGGUUCUCUGCUCCUUGGUGAUGUGCGAUU
rnacentral:lncRNA from 1 species